UGAGGAAUAUUGGUCAAUGGGCGAGAGCCUGAACCAGCCAAAUCGCGUGAAGGAAGACUGCCUUAUGGGUUGUAAACUUCUUUUAUACAGGAAUAAAAAAGGGGACGUGUCCCUUAUUGCAUGUACUGUAUGAAUAAGCAUCGGCUAACUCCGUGCCAGCAGCCGCGGUAAUACGGAGGAUGCGAGCGUUAUCCGGAUUUAUUGGGUUUAAAGGGUGCGCAGGCGGGCUUUUAAGUCAGCGGUGAAAUCUCGGGGCUUAACUCCGAAACUGCCGUUGAAACUGGGAGUCUUGAGUAUGGAUGAAGUAGGCGGAAUUCGUUGUGUAGCGGUGACAUGCUUAGAUAUAACGAGGAACUCCGAUUGCGUAGGCAGCUUACUAAGCCAUAACUGACGCUCAAGCACGAAAGCGUGGGGAUCAAAACAGAUUAGAUACCCCUGGUAGUCCACGCCGUAAAACGAUGAUUACUAGUUGUAUGCGAUAUACCGUAUGUGACUAAGCGAAAGCGAUAAGUAAUCCACCUGGGGAGUACGCCGGCAACGGUGAAACUCAAAGGAAUUGACGGGGUCAUAGCUGUUUCCUG
rnacentral:rRNA from 1 species